rnacentral:rRNA from 1 species
CCUACGGGAGGCAGCAGUGAGGAAUAUUGGUCAAUGGGCUUACGCCUGAACGAGCCAAGUCGCGUGAGGGAAGAAUGCCCUAUGGGUUGUAAACCUCUUUUGUCAGGGAGCAACGCCGGGUAAGUGUAGCCGCACUGAUAGUACCUGAAGAAAAAGCAUCGGCUAACUCCGUGCCAGCAGCCGCGGUAAUACGAGGGAUGCGAGCGUUCUACGGAUGUCUUGGGUUUAAAGGGUGCGUAGGCGGACUGCCAAGUCAGCGUUAAAGUCGCGGGGCACAACCUCGCUCCGCCGUUGAAACUGGCGUUCUGGAGUGGGCUAGAAGUAUGCGGAAGGCGUGGUGUAGCGGUGAAAUGCAUAGAUAUCACGCAGAACUCCGAUUGCGAAGGCAGCAUACCGGCGCCCAACUGACGCUGAAGCACGAAAGCGUGGGUAUCGAACAGGAUUAGAUACCCUUGUAGUC